rnacentral:rRNA from 1 species
UACGUAGGGGGCAAGCGUUGUCCGGAAUCAUUGGGCGUAAAGAGCGUGUAGGCGGCCUGAUAAGUCGGCUGUGAAAGUCAAGGGCUCAACCCUUGAAUGCCGGCCGAUACUGUCAGGCUAGAGUCCGGAAGAGGCGAGUGGAAUUCCUGGUGUAGCGGUGAAAUGCGCAGAUAUCAGGAGGAACACCUAUGGCGAAGGCAGCUCGCUGGGACGGUACUGACGCUGAGGAGCGAAAGCGUGGGGAGCGAACAGG